rnacentral:rRNA from 1 species
CAGCAGCCGCGGUAAUACGAAGGGGGCUAGCGUUGUUCGGAUUUACUGGGCGUAAAGGGCGUGUAGGCGGACUGAUAAGUCAGGGGUGAAAUCCCAAGGCUCAACCUUGGAACUGCCUUUGAUACUGUUUGUCUUGAGUUCGAGAGAGGUAAGUGGAACUGCGGGUGUAGAGGUGAAAUUCGUAGAUAUUCGCAAGAACACCAGUGGCGAAGGUGGCUUACUGGCUCGAAACUGACGCUGAGGCGCGAAAGCGUGGGGAGCAAACAGGAUUAGAUACCCCCGUAGUCCCUGUCUCUUAUAC